rnacentral:lncRNA from 1 species
CUUCUUCUUUUCCAUCGCCCUCACCACUCAACUCUCAGCUCACAAAACCCUCUUUCUCUCGCUACACUAAAAACCCUCAAGAGAACCCUUCGCCUUUUCCACGCCGGAAACAUCCGCACAACCCCACAACACCGUAAACCUUCAAAAUCCCAACCUUCAAUCUUCAUCGCCUCCGCUCAAAAAACCCUUAAACCAUCACCUUCGAACACCGUCAAAACCGCCGUCGCUCCGUGCCGACAAACUCUCUCCAUCUACCUUCAAAUCGCGGCUCUCAAACCGACAAACCACACACAAACCCUUCAUCGCUCACUCCUUCGCACCCAGCUGCCGCCGUCAAAAACGCCUUAACCCUCGCCAUCAUCUCCUCCGCCGCUAUCGCCACUUUCCAUCCUCACCUUCAUACAACCCCCCACCAUCGAAAUUCCGCCGUUACCCCUCACAGAAGACCCUCGUCUCCAUCGUCUCUUUCCGACCCAUCACCAUUACACCACGCGCGUUGCCGCUAACCCUUUUUUUUUUUCAACCGUAACCAUCAACCACUGCGGUGAAACCACCAUCGCUAACCACAACACUUCAAAGCACACCCAUUUCCCGACCGANAGGCCUCUCUCUACUGUUCAUAGUCGGGCCAGAAAAAAAAGAGAAAAUUAAAAAAGGAAAAGAGAAGCAGAAGGCCUUCUUCUUUUCCAUCGCCCUCACCACUCAACUCUCAGCUCACAAAACCCUCUUUCUCUCGCUACACUAAAAAACCCUCAAGAGAACCCUUCGCCUUUUCCACGCCGGAAACAUCCGCACAACCCCACAACACCGUAAACCUUCAAAAUCCCAACCUUCAAUCUUCAUCGCCUCCGCUCAAAAAACCCUUAAACCACCUUCGAAACACCGUCAAAACCGCCGUCGCUCUCGCCGACAAACUAUCUCCAUCUAC